rnacentral:rRNA from 1 species
CCUACGGGGGGCUGCAGUGGGGAAUAUUGGACAAUGGGGGGAACCCUGAUCCAGCCAUGCCGCGUGUGUGAAGAAGGCCCUCGGGUUGUAAAGCACUUUCAGUGAGGAAGAACGCCUGGUGGUUAAUACCCAUCAGGAAAGACAUCACUCACAGAAGAAGCACCGGCUAACUCCGUGCCAGCAGCCGCGGUAAUACGGAGGGUGCGAGCGUUAAUCGGAAUUACUGGGCGUAAAGCGCGCGUAGGUGGCUUGAUAAGCCGGUUGUGAAAGCCCCGGGCUCAACCUGGGAACGGCAUCCGGAACUGUCAAGCUAGAGUGCAGGAGAGGAAGGUAGAAUUGCCGGGGUAGCGGUGAAAUGCGUAGAGAUCGGGAGGAAUACCAGUGGCGAAGGCGGCCUUCUGGACUGACACUGACACUGAGGUGCGAAAGCGUGGGUAGCAAACAGGAUUAGAUACCCUAGUAGUC